AUCGCUUCUCGGCCUUUCGGCUAGGAUCAAGUGUAGUAUCUGUUCUUAUCAGUUUGGUAAUACACUUGAUGGUAAAGGUGUUUGUAUAUCCUCCAUUCAUUCAAUAAGUAUUUAUUAUGUGCUAGGCCCUGUGCUAGUGCAUAGUGAACAACAGCAAGAAGAUCUCGGCUCUCAAAGAGCUUAUUAUCUGGAGCUUUC
rfam:Otolemur garnettii contig182502, whole genome shotgun sequence.